GAGUUUAUAAACAGUCCAUAACCAUGGUGUCUGCGAAAAGCAACAAAUGUUCCAUUUUUUAUUACGUACUAAAAAUAAGAAAUAUUUCCAACAAUCGUAUAUACGUAUAUUCUAAACUCAUAGCAUGCUUAUAUAACGAUAACGGUUGGACAAUCUAAUAUCGCGAAAUAGUUGAAGAUAGUUGUAAUUUAGCUGGCAAUGCAAGUGUCAAGCCCAUGUGUUCUAAUCCUCGGCUCUGAAUAUACGUGAUAUAUAUAUAAACAAUUCUAUUUUGAAUCUAAGAAAAGUAAUGAAAUUCGUGAGACAAUGAGCAAAAUGUCAGAAUCAACGAGUAAUCUACAACGCCUAUCCAACAUGCCGGAGAUAAUGGAUUUAGUCAAACUUCUUCGUCAAAAUGGUGAUAAAGUUCUAAGUGCAUCGAGCAAGUUAUCUUUAUCUACUACAUUACUUUAUAACUUAAAUGAAGCAUUUUCAUUGAUCGUGGACGAUGCUGAAGAUUUGAAAUCUUCAUUUCAAGUUUGCAAUAGUUCCAAAAUAGACUUAUUUAGAGAUUUGAAAUUUUUGCAUGACUUUGUACAGAAAACAAUCGGUCUAAAGCUGACUCAAUACUCGGCGACUAAUGUCAAAGUACAUGUUGAUAUUACCAAAUUUAGAAGCUUGAAAUAUUUGGAAUUAAAAAAAGUUAGUAUUAAUUUAGUAAAAGGAAUACAAGGAAUAAGAGGCCAAUUAGAAAGCAUUACAUGUGCUGGAAGACAGGGCAUUACUACUGUAGCACAAUUAUUAGCGACGUGUGGUGGAGAUGCCGGAGCAGGAUUCGUUUGGGGCUCUUUGAGGCACUUAUCGUUACCUCACAAUGCUCUAGAACAAUUAGACAGAUCCUUUGAACUUACACCAUGGCUACAAAUAUUAGAUUUGAGUCAUAAUUUACUAAACAAUGCAGGAGAACUUGAUUCCUUGCCUAAUCUAAAAUAUCUUAAUCUCGGAUAUAACAAAUUGGAAACGGUUCCUGCUUUUAAUAAAUCGACAAUGCAUUCUCUUCAAAUAUUAGUUUUAAAAAAUAAUUUCAUCGAAGAUAUCAGUGGCUUACAAGGAUUGGAGUGUUUAACGGAGAUUGACUUGUCAUUCAACUGCUUAACAGAACAUUCUGUCUUGUGGCCUAUUGAAAGGAUGUCGGCAUUGUUAUGGCUAUCUUUGGAAGGAAAUCCAUUGUCAUAUCAUCCAAAACAUAGACUGUUAUCCAUUAAACAUUUACAUCCAUGUUUAAUCGAUAACAAGUUUGUCUUAGAUCAUUGGCCUUUGUCAAAAUCGGAAAGACUGCUUGUAGAAGACAACCGUGUUUUUCCAAUUAGAAACAUGCAGUCUAGCGUAUCGAGAGACAAUUUUGUUUCUUUGUCAGAUUCAACUACUUCCAAUAAUACAUUUUCAUCCAGUGACUCUUUUGUUUCUAAAGAUUUUUUAAUAAAAAACCCCCAGGCGUCCAAUAUAAACGCUAGAGGGGAGAAAAGUUUUACCGCUCUAGGAAAAAGUAGAAAAAAGACAAACGUAAAGGAAGCUGUUAUCGCAGAAGAAGACCAGGAAAAAAAGGAUUCCAUGAAUAAAUCGGAAGUAUUAUCUUCUUCGCACUUAGAAACGAAGAAACAAAUAUUGGCAUUGCGAGAGAAAUUUGGCAAAGUAAACUGGCUAAGCAGUCAAGCUGGGACCUUCGUUCAAGAUAUUAUGGGUUUGCAAUCACCAUCACCUACGAUUAAUUAUCUCGUCAAUACAAAUUCAAUAUUAUCCGAAGACAAUUUUGAUAUAACAUCUGUGAUAGAAAAUAAGGAUUCGAAUCAUACUAAUUCAGAAAAUUUAAGCAAUCCUAUUGUUGUUAAUUGCAAUGACAAUGGAAAUGCUGAUAAAGUAGAAGAAACACACGAUAACGAAGCACCGAAUAAUGACGAUUUCACAAUUACUCUUGAAAAUCCUCCUGAAAUCAAUCCUUUGUUUGAUCUCGAAUUAGAAAAGGGUGAUCUGUAUUUAGUACAAAACAGGAAAAAUUCUAAUGAAAUGGAAGAAUUAUUUUUAGAACUAACGGCCGACGAUAUAAAGGAAAGAGAUACUACAAGUGGAAUAGUCAAAAAUUCUUGGUCGGCAGCAUCUGUUCUAUCGUGCGUAUUGGGAAGAGGUGAAACACCUAUGGUGGACAUUAUAUUCGAUACGAAACGUAAAGAUAAACAGAACAGAAGAUAUUUUAUAGAAUUGGAAGAAGCAAAAAAAAUCGUGUCAACGAUCAGUGAAAAGAUGAGUGCACACCCUAUACUAUUAAAAGUUUAUAAAUGCAUGAAGUGUUCGACGCAUUUCUCAGAUGAUGAGGAACAUGCAGCUAUAAUUUUUAGAUCUGCAAUUGGUAUGAAGCAGUUGAAAUGUCCUACUUGCGCAAGUACAUUAGUUAUAGAGAUGAAUGAAUUUUCCGAAAUGCAUUCUAAAAAUGACGAAACUCCUGCGCACAAAAACAAUAAGUCUAUGGAAAUGUCUGAAAUAAUUAAUUUGCAACAUUCUGAAUCGACUUCUAGUAUCGGUGCAGGUGGAACGGAGGGUGAAGCUAUAUCCGUCAGCACUUCUCUGGUGCACUACGACUCUCACCCCCAAGCCCAAGUCUGCUGCUCAGCAACUAGUUUAGAAGAAUCAAGAGAAUCCACGCCUUCGAUAAGUGCCAUAAUUAAAAAGUACGAAAGUGAUAUAGAAAUUCUUAGUAAUCCAAGUCAAAGUAGUAUCGAAGUUUUGGACGAAGCUUCAAAAGCUAAUUUAACUCCUAAUAGGAAGAAAUCGUCGGAAGAAAGAUCCGCAAGCGUUGCUCCUUCGCUUUUAACAGUUACGGAUGCAAUUGGUCCGGUUAUGGUUGGAUUAACUGAAAGUAGUUCUUCAGGUUCUUUAACUGAUAGCAUCUGCACAGCAUACGAAAAUAGAAACGUUAAAAAAUGUAAUAAUAACGAAAUGAAUUCUGAAAAAGAAUCUGUACCUGUAGCAAAUAUAUCUACGAUGCUUGGAGAACUUUUACAAAGUAUCAAAAUAGGAAGUAAUAAAUCUUUACUAAUAAAGACUGAGGAAGAAAUAAACUCUUUAAAUAGCAGCGUGCAAUAUUCUUAUACGGAUUUCAGUAGUGUUGAUCAUAGAGUGAAGCUUCAUAUCAUUCUAAACGUCUUUGAACACGAAAGCGAAGAACUUGCUCUUCUUCUUAGGGCCGAUAUAUUGAUGCACAAUCUAAAGGAAGUAUUUCCAGGAUGUUUAGUUUUUUCUACAUCGAAGGUUUAUAUCCUUAAAAUUGAUGGACCAGAAGGGGAGGACCCGCAGCGUUGGUUGCGCAAAGAAUGUAGCUGGACAAUAGAUAAAUUGAGAUCUAUUGCUGCAUUGCCUUUUAAACAAGGUGUUCUAGUAGAGUUACAACAGUCAAUAACAAUGAACGAAGAAUACGUCAGCAUUGGUUUAUUAUGCAUAUUACAAGAUUUUCAGAGAACAUCGAAUUUUUUAUUUUAUAUAACGGACCCUCCGCUACCUGCUAGUUGCGAAGUCGAAUUUUCUGUACCAGAACAUUGCAGUACUUUAAUGCACAAUUUAUUAUCAGAUAUUAAAAAAGAUGAAAAUAGUGAUGAUACUGUUAGAAUUCUAGCGCUCUUUUCUUCUGCGGUACUGAAAUGUCAUAAUAAUACUAUGAUGACCAAGUACUCUGGACUCUUAAUAACAGCAUCUACCUUAGUAAUAUUAGAGGAUAAUAUGCAAUGGCUUUUACCAAAUACUAAAGUAGUGCCAGUAAUAUUAAAAGAACAAACUAUGAGUAAUUUAAUGGGAAUCGAACGCUGCGAUACGAUGUUGGUUUUAAAUUUCCUAAACGAGAUUGCAGGCUUGGAAGAAACAUGGAGUUUGGAAUUUAUUUCUGUAGGUGCUGUAGAGGCUGUCAUUAAUUCAAUACAAUCGCCAUGGGAAGAACUGUUUUCAGUACCCCUUCAAGUUACUACCAAAUCAGUACUAGAUAAUGACAAAUUUUAAAAAAGCUUAGGCGUUAAAUCAUUACCCUGGAAGGGAGAGCUCAUUACCUUCAACAAAGAUAAGUACGAUCCAACAAUACCAUCAUCAUGAAAGAUUUUGGAAGACUGUGCAAAAUUUUAUUUACAUUGGGAAAGAAUCAGAGAUAUAAAUAUCCUAUCAAAAAAUAUGAAAAAGGAAUGCCUCUUAAUUGUUACAAAUUUUAACAUCACUUGGAAAUACAUUUUAAUGGGCAAUUCAAUUCUUCACGUGUACAAAAUGUAUUGUCAAACAUAGUACUGGGUUUACUAUGUAAUUUCGUAGAAAAG
rnacentral:misc_RNA from 1 species